AGUACACAAAUCUUUAACACAGAGAAGAUGUGAAAGAAAGGUCUUUUUGAGGCUGAUCUUUUUAGGCUGUGGCAAAACAAAAAUUAAUUUCCCUGAACAAAAUAAACAAUUUUUCCUCUUAAAGAAUAAAGAAGGAUGUAUUCCAGCUUCACCAAUCAAGAACAGUUCUUCAUCAAAGUUCCUUUGUAGAUCAGAAUGAGGAUGUCUUGGUGAUCUGAUGACCACAAAAACAGACUGUACUUGUCCACUUGCCUUCUCAUCUCUGACAGAUGCCCUCAGUCUCUAUGAGUUCCUCGUCCCAAGAUUACGUCAGUAAAUAUUAUCUUUGAGUCUCACAGCAGCUGAACAAUCUGUCAGGAUCAAAACAAGAGAGAACACCUUUAGGGAUUGAGCUCAGCUAUAAGAAAAAGAAUACAGGUCAGAGUGAGCCAGCAGGAACAUAUAAGAGAAAUGUUUGACUUGAAGAACACGAUGUGUUUUCCCAAAGAGUUUUACGGCAGGAAGCUUCAAUCACAUAAUCAUGUCAGCAUGAGGACGUCACUGGAAGAUCUGAAUUAUUGAUGUACUUGACAGUGAUGAGAAACUAUACAAUGUAUUGAGACACAAUGAGAGCAGGAAUGUGAGAGUUCAGAAAAUGAUGCUGUUAAAUAUGUGACUCUAUAAGAAUUGUGGUAAGAUGCAAGGAGAAAUGCUAUACUAUUAAAAGUUUUAGACACUUGUGAAAAGGAAAAUUAUUUCUAUUAACUAAAUCAAAUUAACUUAAACAGUUUUUGUAACAGUUUUUCUUAUUUUAUGAUAAUUGUCACAUGCACAGUACUGUAUAUUUACAUGAACUGAAUAAGAAAUAAAUAUUUUUGUAACAGUUAAUGUUCAUUGUUCACUGGUAAAUCUGAAUUGUUAAAUGCUUAUC